rnacentral:rRNA from 1 species
GUGGGGAAUCUUGCGCAAUGGGCGAAAGCCUGACGCAGCCAUGCCGCGUGAAUGAUGAAGGUCUUAGGAUUGUAAAAUUCUUUCACCGGGGACGAUAAUGACGGUACCCGGAGAAGAAGCCCCGGCUAACUUCGUGCCAGCAGCCGCGGUAAUACGAAGGGGGCUAGCGUUGCUCGGAAUUACUGGGCGUAAAGGGCGCGUAGGCGGAUCGUUAAGUCAGGGGUGAAAUCCCAGAGCUCAACUCUGGAACUGCCUUUGAUACUGGCGAUCUUGAGUAUGAGAGAGGUAUGUGGAACUCCGAGUGUAGAGGUGAAAUUCGUAGAUAUUCGGAAGAACACCAGUGGCGAAGGCGACAUACUGGCUCAUUACUGACGCUGAGGCGCGAAAGCGUGGGGAGCAAACAGGAUUAGAUACCCCUGUAGUCC